rnacentral:rRNA from 1 species
GAUGAACGCUGGCGGCGUGCCUAAUACAUGCAAGUCGAGCGAACGGACGAGAAGCUUGCUUCUCUGAUGUUAGCGGCGGACGGGUGAGUAACACGUGGAUAACCUACCUAUAAGACUGGGAUAACUUCGGGAAACCGUAGCUAAUACCGGAUAAUAUUUUGAACCGCAUGGUUCAAAAGUGAAAGACGGUCUUGCUGUCACUUAUAGAUGGAUCCGCGCUGCAUUAGCUAGUUGGUAAGGUAACGGCUUACCAAGGCAACGAUGCAUAGCCGACCUGAGAGGGUGAUCGGCCACACUGGAACUGAGACACGGUCCAGACUCCUACGGGAGGCAGCAGUAGGGAAUCUUCCGCAAUGGGCGAAAGCCUGACGGAGCAACGCCGCGUGAGUGAUGAAGGUCUUCGGAUCGUAAAACUCUGUUAUUAGGGAAGAACAUAUGUGUAAGUAACUGUGCACAUCUUGACGGUACCUAAUCAGAAAGCCACGGCUAACUGCGUGCCAGCAGCCGCGGUAAUACGUAGGUGGCAAGCGUUAUCCGGAAUUAUUGGGCGUAAAGCGCGCGUAGGCGGUUUUUUAAGUCUGAUGUGAAAGCCCACGGCUCAACCGUGGAGGGUCAUUGGAAACUGGAAAACUUGAGUGCAGAAGAGGAAAGUGGAAUUCCAUGUGUAGCGGUGAAAUGCGCAGAGAUAUGGAGGAACACCAGUGGCGAAGGCGACUUUCUGGUCUGUAACUGACGCUGAUGUGCGAAAGCGUGGGGAUCAAACAGGAUUAGAUACCCUGGUAGUCCACGCCGUAAACGAUGAGUGCUAAGUGUUAGGGGGUUUCCGCCCCUUAGUGCUGCAGCUAACGCAUUAAGCACUCCGCCUGGGGAGUACGACCGCAAGGUUGAAACUCAAAGGAAUUGACGGGGACCCGCACAAGCGGUGGAGCAUGUGGUUUAAUUCGAAGCAACGCGAAGAACCUUACCAAAUCUUGACAUCCUUUGACAACUCUAGAGAUAGAGCCUUCCCCUUCGGGGGACAAAGUGACAGGUGGUGCAUGGUUGUCGUCAGCUCGUGUCGUGAGAUGUUGGGUUAAGUCCCGCAACGAGCGCAACCCUUAAGCUUAGUUGCCAUCAUUAAGUUGGGCACUCUAAGUUGACUGCCGGUGACAAACCGGAGGAAGGUGGGGAUGACGUCAAAUCAUCAUGCCCCUUAUGAUUUGGGCUACACACGUGCUACAAUGGACAAUACAAAGGGCAGCGAAACCGCGAGGUCAAGCAAAUCCCAUAAAGUUGUUCUCAGUUCGGAUUGUAGUCUGCAACUCGACUACAUGAAGCUGGAAUCGCUAGUAAUCGUAGAUCAGCAUGCUACGGUGAAUACGUUCCCGGGUCU